AGCGAUGUAAAUCCAGUGUCAAUUUUUUAAUUUACGAAAUUUUCUCCCUUUCUGUAAACAGAAUAGGAUAUGAUAUACAUACGUUAAUAAAUACACCAAAAACAAAAAUUUACUUAAACAUCGUUGAAUAAACCUAUAUUUAACGAUAAUAGACUAAGUCUGACGUCACACGGGCUGUGACGUCUCGAAACCUUUCCAAACAAAUAAAUAUUACACUUAAAAUUGAGCUAUGAAUUAAGAGUAGUUGUGCCUUUAUUACGAGAGAGUUUAUCGAUAUUUCUACGGUCCCUAGAGAAGUUUUUCAUCAGCAUCAGAACAGCUUUUAAAUAUGUGCUCAAGCACUGGCGAUUUUUUUUGGAAUAAUAAUAAAGUCAUUAAAAAAGGUGAAAAAGCGCUGGAGUCCAAAUCACAUGGAAAGAACUCCAUUUCUUGCAGAUUUAGAUGAUCAUGCCAGUAUGAAAGAAAAAUAUUGAGAUAAGCUUAUAUAUUGAUAAGAUAAGAUGAUAAGAUGAUAAGGUAUUGAGAUAAGUAGGUCAAUACCUAACCUUUGUGUGUAAAUUAAAGAAAAUAAUCCUCAAUGGGAGGUAUGUCCUUCAACACAUCUGGAAUUUAUUCCCAUACCUCUCAUGAUGACUUCUUAAGGAGGUACCUAAAGGACAGGGUUAAGAUUUACAACAUGCUUCUCGCUCUGUAACUACCAGAGCAUUUUACAGAAAUGAGCCAGGCUUAUCAGAAUUACAUCUUUGGCUUCCAUCGAAUCUGCAAAAUGAUACAUUAAGAUGUCUUUCAGUUAGUUGUCUGGUUUCAUGUUGGUGAGUUAUGUAGUUUUUAUCUUUAAGUUUAUACUAGAAUACACAACUGGAGUAUUUUGGUAUCAUACAAGAGUGAGUUUUUAGGGAUUCAAGAGCAUUAUUGUAGAGUCCCCCCAGGUCACUAUACCAUAGCAUAUCAGAGAUUCCACAAAUGAUUGGUACAACAUUAUUAAAGUUUUUUAUCCAAUAUAUUUCUAAUAAGGAAAAAUUUAUGAAUUAAGCUUUUGAGUUUAGAUGUUAAGUUUUGAAUGUGUGGUGUUCAUUUUAAUUUUUUGUUUAUUAUUAUACCUAGAUGUUUAGUGUUUUCUACUUCUUUUAUAAUAAAGUUUUGUUGUUCAUCAAUAA